rnacentral:tRNA from 1 species
GGAAGAGUUCCCGAGUGGCUAAAGGGGACGGACUGUAAAUCCGUUGGCACCGCCUUCGAUGGUUCGAAUCCAUCCUCUUCCA